UUCAACUCUUAAGUUGCUGACAAAUUAACAUUAUUUAAUUUGCUAUCAGUUUCUCUAAGCAGCCAACGGCACUUUGAAAUGAAGAACAGAUGGCAGCACAGCAAGAGAAGGCUGUAAACGAGUUGUAAUGCAGCAAAUUGUAUCAAGAUGUUCCAGUGUACUGAACAUAGGAGGACGAUGCAAACUGGGGCAAGUUCUGGAGGUCUGAAAGACAUCACACUAUGAACCGAUUGACCUGUGCGUAGAAAGACCAGGCAGCUGACGUCGGGCUGUGAGCAGAGGGCUGGACGCGAAGCAGAGAAGAAGUCACAGUUCACGCGACGAGAAAUCCUGAAAAUGUACUGAUCAGGAAGCAACUGAAAUCAACUUGUUUAGGAAAUCUGGAGUCUGGGGCUGAGGGACAAUAAGGAGCCUGCAGCCACUAAAGGCAUUUCUUGGACCUCAGUAGCACAGGACUUGACCCUGAGCAGCAGGAAAGAUGGAGUGCAGCGGGGAUCCAAACGGCUACAGCUUGACAUUGGUCAAACCGAGUUCUCCUCCAUCAACACAAAGCCAGACGGACUCUUUCCUGACCGCAGCCCGGUUGGCCCGCGAAGGACUGCUGGAGGACGGAAGAACAGGACAGCAGUUUUCCACUCUUAGACAGUCUCCUUCUAGUUCACAAGAAAACCAUGGCGCUGUCUUGAAAGACCUGAGGAUCAGGCGGUACACCGUCAUCUCCAGGAGGAAGACGGAAACCGACAGAAAGACGGACAAUGGAGAGGGAAAGCAGACCCCUCAGGGUGCCUCCUCACCAAAAUCAGAAGCAGAGAGACAGAAGGUGUGUUUGAGUGCAUCUGACUGUCGCUUCACAUGUAGACAACCUGGAAGGUUUAAAGUUGCCGUAUUACCUGUAAUAGCGGAAAUUUAGGCAACACUACAGUCAGACUUCCAGACUUGUUGAUAAAUUUGUAAACAUUAACCUGGAGGUUAAUGUUUGGUUAUUCCUAACGUCAGCACUAUCUAUUUUAAGAGAAAGUCUAUGUUUAAGGGUAUUAGAUUAAGCACUGACUAAAGUAUUGAGACUACAGGAGAUAGCCAUCAGCCUUUUAUUAAAUACAUCACCUGAAGUCAGUAGUUUGUAUUUGACUGUUUUCCAACUAAGACACACUGGCUACACCUUGCAACCUUUAGACAGUGGCACUGACAUCCAUAGUUUCAGGGGGGGAAACAUUUAUAUUUAAACACAUUUCAAUCUACUGGAGAUUAAAACACUGACAUCUAGUGGCCGUAAGUGGACUUUCAGCUGCACAGGAUUUUUCCUGUUACAACCUGUAACUAAUAUAUUUUAUUUGGAUAGUAGCACAUUAUUGUACGGGGAAGGGAACUGCAUUGUUUGUUUUUUUUAAUUAUUUUUAAAUUUUUGUCAUUAAAAACAACCUGAAAAGUG